AUACGGAGGAUGCAAGCGUUAUCCGGAUUUAUUGGGUUUAAAGGGUGCGCAGGCGGGCUGUUAAGUCAGCGGUGAAAUCUCCCGGCUCAACCGGGGAACUGCCGUUGAUACUGGCAGCCUAGAGUACCGCCGGCGCCGGCGGAAUGUGUCAUGUAGCGGUGAAAUGCUUAGAUAUGCCACAGAACACCGAUCGCGAAGGCAGCUGGCGAGGCUGGUACUGACGCUCAGGCACGAAAGCGUGGGGAUCAAACAGGAUUAGAUACCCUGGUAGUCCACGCAGUAAACGAUGAGGACUUGUUGUCGGCGAUAGAAUGUCGGUGACAAAGCGAAAGCGAUAAGUCCUCCACCUGGGGAGUACGAUCGCAAGGUUGAAACUCAAAUGAAUUGACGGGG
rnacentral:rRNA from 1 species